UACGUAGGCAGCAAGCGUUGUUCGGAGUUACUGGGCGUAAAGAGUGUGUAGGCGGUUUCCUAAGUCUGGUGUGAAAUCUCCCGGCUUAACUGGGAGGGUGCGCCGGAAACUGGGAAGCUUGAGUGUGGGAGAGGGAAGUGGAAUUCCUGGUGUAGCGGUGAAAUGCGUAGAUAUCAGGAGGAACACCGGCGGUGUAGACGGCUUCCUGGACCACCACUGACGCUGAGACACGAAAGCGUGGGGAGCAAACAGG
rnacentral:rRNA from 1 species